GACGAACGCUGGCGGCGUGCUUAACACACGCAAGUCGAACGCUGAAGCCCUUUCGGGGGUGGAUGAGUGGCGAACGGGUGAGUAACACGUGGGUAAUCUGCCCUGCACUCUGGGAUAAGCCUUGGAAACGGGGUCUAAUACCGGAUAGGACACAUCGCCGCAUGGUGUGUGUGUGGAAAGUUCCGGCGGUGCAGGUUGAGCCCGCGGCCUAUCAGCUUGUUGGUGGGGUGAUGGCCUACCAAGGCGACGACGGGUAGCCGGCCUGAGAGGGUGACCGGCCACACUGGGACUGAGACACGGCCCAGACUCCUACGGGAGGCAGCAGUGGGGAAUCUUGCGCAAUGGGCGAAAGACUGACGCAGCAACGCCGCGUGGGGGAUGACGGCCUUCGGGUUGUAAACCUCUUUCGACCGGGACGAAGGGUGACUGACGGUACCGGUAGAAGAAGCACCGGCUAACUACGUGCCAGCCGCCGCAGUAA
rnacentral:rRNA from 1 species